rnacentral:rRNA from 1 species
UAGGGAAUCUUCCGCAAUGGGCGAAAGCCUGACGGAGCAACGCCGCGUGAGUGAUGAAGGUCUUCGGAUCGUAAAACUCUGUUAUUAGGGAAGAACAAAUGUGUAAGUAACUAUGCACGUCUUGACGGUACCUAAUCAGAAAGCCACGGCUAACUACGUGCCAGCAGCCGCGGUAAUAGGUAGGUGGCAAGCGUUAUCCGGAAUUAUUGGCCGUAAAGCGCGCGUAGGCGGUUUUUUAAGUCUGAUGUGAAAGCCCACGGCUCAACCGUGGAGGGUCAUUGGAAACUGGAAAACUUGGGUGCAGAAGAGGAAAGUGGAAUUCCAUGUGUAGCGGUGAAAUGCGCAGGGAUAUGGAGGCACACCAGUGGCGAAGGCGACUUUCUGGUCUGUAACUGACGCUGAUGUGCGAAGGCGUGGGGAUCAAACAGG